GUACACUCCUACGGGAGGCAGCAGUGGGGAAUUUUGGACAAUGGGCGAAAGCCUGAUCCAGCAAUGCCGCGUGAGUGAAGAAGGCCUUCGGGUUGUAAAGCUCUUUUGUCAGGGAAGAAACGGUGAAAGCUAAUAUCUUUUGCUAAUGACGGUACCUGAAGAAUAAGCACCGGCUAACUACGUGCCAGCAGCCGCGGUAAUACGUAGGGUGCAAGCGUUAAUCGGAAUUACUGGGCGUAAAGCGUGCGCAGGCGGUUUUGUAAGUCUGAUGUGAAAUCCCCGGGCUCAACCUGGGAAUUGCAUUGGAGACUGCAAGGCUAGAAUCUGGCAGAGGGGGGUAGAAUUCCACGUGUAGCAGUGAAAUGCGUAGAUAUGUGGAGGAACACCGAUGGCGAAGGCAGCCCCCUGGGUCAAGAUUGACGCUCAUGCACGAAAGCGUGGGGAGCAAACAGGAUUAGAAACCCGAGUAGUCCC
rnacentral:rRNA from 1 species